CCAGACACAGAUUUGGUACCAAUGGACACUGAUGACACCGAAAAAAUAACUCGAUUACUUGACACGUCAAAUCGUACUUUUAGCAUAACUGAUGCCGGUGGAAACAACAUGGGGCUUAUGCGUGUAGUGUCCUCUACAGUUAGCUCGUAUGCUUCCCUGAAUAUGACAUUGGAGUCCGCCUCUGAGAUAUCUAGUCCUGACGAAAUUUUAGAAUAUGGAAACGAAAAUAUUUCUGAUGUACAGAACGUUUUAACAGAGACAACUGAUCACUUUGUCCAGGAAAUCUUAAAUCGAAUCCC